CCGGGCGUAGCGCAGAGGCAGGCGCACCGGUCUCUUAAUCCGGUCACGCCGGUUCGAAUCCGGCCGCCUGGG
rnacentral:tRNA from 1 species